UAGGGAAUCUUCGGCAAUGGGGGCAACCCUGACCGAGCAACGCCGCGUGAGUGAAGAAGGUUUUCGGAUCGUAAAGCUCUGUUGUAAGAGAAGAACGUGUGUGAGAGUGGAAAGUUCACACAGUGACGGUAACUUACCAGAAAGGGACGGCUAACUACGUGCCAGCAGCCGCGGUAAUACGUAGGUCCCGAGCGUUGUCCGGAUUUAUUGGGCGUAAAGCGAGCGCAGGCGGUUUAAUAAGACUGAAGUUAAAGGCAGUGGCUUAACCAGUGUUCGCUUUGGAAACUGUUAAACUUGAGUGCAGAAGGGGAGAGUGGAAUUCCAUGGGUAGCGGUGAAAUGCGUAGAUAUAUGGAGGAACACCAGUGGCGAAAGCGGCUCUCUGGUCUGUAACUGACGCUGAGGCUCGAAAGCGUGGGGAGCAAACAGG
rnacentral:rRNA from 1 species